GGAUUCCCCUAGUAACUGCGAGUGAAGCGGGAAAAGCUCAAAUUUAAAAUCUGGUAGCUUUGCUGCCCGAGUUGUAAUCUAGAGAAGCAUUAUCCGUGCUGGCGCGUGUACAAGUGUCCUGGAAUGGACCAUCAUAGAGGGUGAGAAUCCCGUCUUUGACACGACUGCCUAGUGCUUUGUGAUGUGCUCUCAAAGAGUCGAGUUGUUUGGGAAUGCAGCUCUAAAUGGGUGGUAAAUUCCAUCUAAAGCUAAAUAUUGGCGAGAGACCGAUAGCGAACAAGUACCGUGAGGGAAAGAUGAAAAGAACUUUGGAAAGAGAGUUAAACAGUACGUGAAAUUGCUGAAAGGGAAACGCUUGAAGUCAGUCGCGUUGGAUGGGGAUCAACCUUGCUUUUUGCUUGGCUUACUUCCCAGUUGACGGGUCAGCAUCAGUUUUGACCAGUGGAUAAAGGUUAGGGGAAUGUGGCACCUCCGGGUGUGUUAUAGCCCCUGGUCA
rnacentral:rRNA from 1 species